GUCAUGCACCGAUAGGCUGGUGCGCGCCGCUCCGUCGAGCUUGCCUGUCCGCGUCACGCGCGUGGCCGAUGGUGUUGGGUGCGGUGCUGCACGAGGGCGACGGGUUGCCGGCCACCAUGAAGCGCCGGCGGCAGAGGGGCUUCGUCCGCCACGCGCGGCUCGUCGCCUCCAUCUUCUUCCGCCUUCGCUAGCCGAAGCAGGGGCCAGCCGACCAACACGGGAGAUAGCGGGCGACGAGUGGGUUCCGCCCUGUCCGUCUCCUCCGACGUGGUCGCCGGGGACAAGGCCGCUCCCGCCAUGGAGACCCCGACCAAGGUACUCGGAUCUCGGCGAGGAUGAGGACUACGACACCCGGAGCUCGACCGCCCCGGCAGUAUGGAGCGCGCCUACAUGAAUGCCAGGCAGGUGCUUGGCGUUCCGCGGUUCUUGCUGGUUGCGACUGCUUCGUUCCAGCUCUGGCGGUGGCGGUGGUACACCACUAGCUGCUUCUGCCCAGCACUUCUUCAAGGCCGUUGAAGAGCUUGGGUCCUGGGAGGCAGGGCGCGGCCUUCCUUGUCUGCACCGACCAAGGCCACUUAUGUUUUUUUUUUCUGUGGUGGUGGCAAGGGCUGCCUGAAGCGCCUCCACAAGGAGUAGCACACACGUCUGCAAGGAUCUGCUGCUGGGUGUCUUGUCGACGAUGUUCCGGAGCAGCUACCGCCGGCCUCCUACCCAACGUGCUUCUGUCGGCAAGAAAGCCGUCACAGAAAGGCGCUGGAGCUGGAGCGGCAGCGGCGGCAUCGCGGCUUGUCUAAGGCAUUCUAUCUCCAUCCUAUUGUCUUUGAACUUGGCAUAGUUGGUAGCAUUUCUGGUGACCGUUCAUGCAGCUAGUCAAUAUCCGGGAUUCGUCUUUGUUUGGGUUCAGUUGGUUUUGGUGCAGCUCAUGGACGCAAACGACAUGCUCAGUUUGGGUUCAGUUGAUCCCCUUCGUCUGUUUAGAUGCACCGCCAAUUGGGCCGGUCUGUUCAUGGUUCCUAGUUCCUAUUCGGUUGAUCCCCUUCGUUUGUUUAGAUUUGUACUUGCAAUGCAGUUGUUAUAUCUGUGAGUGUCUCACUAUUUGGAUUGUAGUUUAUGAAAUGGUAGGUUAAUUAGCACCUUGUCUGAUAUGUAUUUGAAAUGUAGGUUAGGCUAUUUGAAUACCCAUUUCGUUGUUCAUACGUAGGAAAAGGUUUGAUGUUUGAAUAAUGUUUUGUGUUGAGCAAUUAGGCUGGCAUAAAUUGUCUGCUUGUUGCCACACGUGGUGUGGUGUUUAUAUGAUCUCAUGUCUUAUACAUUAGUAGAGCUUGUUUGUGUUGAGCUGUCCAAAUUUGCUGAAGUUUACUUGGCGUAUAUAUGCAGGCAGUGGAGGUUGUUAGAGGGCUCUUGCUGGCUGCGGCUGUUUCAUUCCAGUUCCGGUGGUGGCGGCACACCCCUAUCUGCUGCCGGCAGCACUCCAGGGGCCUCUGCAAGGGCGUUCAGGGUGAUGUAACACCCCGGUUUUCCGAUAAUCUUUUUCCGAUAAAAAAACAUAUCUUUCGACUCUUAAUACCCACAUUUAAUUGGUUCUCUGAAUCAAAAAUCCGACUCCAUAGUUGUGUCGGCCUCGUCAAGAUGGUCGAAACAGACUACUCAUACCCCGAAAUCGAACUCCGGAUGCAUCUUCCAAUGUUUAUUUUAUUUCAAUGGUUAUGAUUAUUUGGGAAUUUCGAAUUUAUCUUUUAAUUAAGGUAAAGAGGGUGAUCUGACCCUUAUCUCUAUCCUAGUCUUGAGCCUCAUCCACUCCAUCGUGAGCACUCCAUCAUCAUCCCCAAGCCAGACCCCCUCCCUCACCCGUGGUCUCCUCCUUUCCUCAUGGCUUUCCCUCCACCUCCCCCUUCCUGGCCUCUUCUCCCCUGAAUCUCCAACCUGUACCACGGCCCAGGCCUUCUCCAAGGGCAGCUGAUAGUAUCUUGAAGAGACAAGCAGAGGAGAGAAGAAGAUCGAAGAAGAGGAGAAGAAAAGAAGAUCCUCAACCCUUACCUCUGUCCGAUUUCUUCUGUUCAAGCUCCAAGUGUACAACUUAGUGAACGAUGGUUUGCAAGUGGUUGGAAACGCGUAGCUCCCACGGAUGUGCACUCACAAACUACACCACCCUUGCUUUCACCUAGCUUUAUCAUGACAUCUCACAUGCUUUGGCUUAUGGUUCAUGAUCGCUAGGUUUGCUUGAUGUGUAUAAAGUAUAAACCUUGUUUGGUUUGUGGUUGUGACCACUAAGGUUGUUUGUGUGUGGCGUAGCGAGGUGGGACUUCACCAUCUAGCUCCGCAUGUGUUGUAUGAGCUUGUUUAUGCUUCCGCUGUGGUACUCUUAUAAAUAUAUUGUGUUUAUUUCAA